rnacentral:rRNA from 1 species
CCUACGGGCGGCAGCAGUGAGGAAUAUUGGUCAAUGGACGAGAGUCUGAACCAGCCAAGUAGCGUGAAGGAUGACUGCCCUAUGGGUUGUAAACUUCUUUUAUCUGGGAAUAAAAUGUUCCACGUGUGGGAUUUUGUAUGUACCAUAUGAAUAAGGAUCGGCUAACUCCGUGCCAGCAGCCGCGGUAAUACGGAGGAUCCGAGCGUUAUCCGGGUUUAUUUGGUUUAAAGGGGGCGUAGGUGGGUUGUUAAGUCAGUUGUGAAAGUUUGCGGCUCAACCGUAAAAUUGCAGUUGAAACUGGCAGGCUUGAGUACAGUAGAGGUGGGCGGAAUUCGUGGUGUAGCGGUGAAAUGCUGAGAUAUCACGAAGAACUCCGAUUGCGAAGGCAGUUCACUGGACUGCAACUGACACUGAGGCUCGAAAGUGUGGGGAUCAAACAGGAUUAGAUACCCUGGUAGUC